CACGUAGGCACCAAGCGUUGUCCGGAUUUAUUGGGCGUAAAGAGCUCGUAGGCGGUUCGGUAAGUCGGGUGUGAAAACUCUGGGCUCAACCCAGAGCCGCCACCCGAUACUGCUGUGACUUGAGUUCGGUAGGGGAGCGGGGAAUUCCUGGUGUAGCGGUGAAAUGCGCAGAUAUCAGGAGGAACACCGGUGGCGAAGGCGGGUCUCUGGGCCGAUAUUGACGCUGAGGAGCGAAAGCGUGGGGAGCGAACAGG
rnacentral:rRNA from 1 species